rnacentral:rRNA from 1 species
GGACUUCGGUCUGGUGGCGAGUGGCGAACGGGUGAGUAAUGCAUCGGAACGUACCCGGAAGUGGGGGAUAACUAUCCGAAAGGAUGGCUAAUACCGCAUAUUCUGUACGCAGGAAAGAGGGGGAUCUUCGGACCUCUUGCUUUCGGAGCGGCCGAUGUCAGAUUAGCUAGUUGGUGGGGUAAAGGCCUACCAAGGCGACGAUCUGUAGCGGGUCUGAGAGGAUGAUCCGCCACACUGGAACUGAGACACGGUCCAGACUCCUACGGGAGGCAGCAGUGGGGAAUUUUGGACAAUGGGCGCAAGCCUGAUCCAGCCAUGCCGCGUGAGUGAAGAAGGCCUUCGGGUUGUAAAGCUCUUUCGGCCGGGAAAAAAUCGGUGAGGCUAAUAUCCUCAUCGGAUGAUGGUACCGGACUAAGAAGCACCGGCUAACUACGUGCCAGCAGCCGCGGUAAUACGUAGGGUGCGAGCGUUAAUCGGAAUUACUGGGCGUAAAGCGUGCGCAGGCGGUUUUUUAAGACAGGCGUGAAAUCCCCGGGCUUAACCUGGGAACUGCGUUUGUGACUGGAAGGCUAGAGUACGGCAGAGGGGGGUGGAAUUCCACGUGUAGCAGUGAAAUGCGUAGAGAUGUGGAGGAACACCAAUGGCGAAGGCAGCCCCCUGGGUCGAUACUGACGCUCAUGCACGAAAGCGUGGGGAGCAAACAGGAUUAGAUACCCCUGGUAGUCCACGCCCUAAACGAUGUCAACUAGGUGUUGGGUGGGUAAAACCAUUUAGUACCGGAGCUAACGCGUGAAGUUGACCGCCUGGGGAGUACGGCCGCAAGGUUAAAACUCAAAGGAAUUGACGGGGACCCGCACAAGUGGUGGAUGAUGUGGAUUAAUUCGAUGCAACGCGAAAAACCUUACCUACCCUUGACAUGCCAGGAACUUGCCAGAGAUGGCUUGGUGCCCGAAAGGGAGCCUGGACACAGGUGCUGCAUGGCUGUCGUCAGCUCGUGUCGUGAGAUGUUGGGUUAAGUCCCGCAACGAGCGCAACCCUUGUCGUUAAUUGCCAUCAUUAGGUUGGGCACUUUAACGAGACUGCCGGUGACAAACCGGAGGAAGGUGGGGAUGACGUCAAGUCCUCAUGGCCCUUAUGGGUAGGGCUUCACACGUCAUACAAUGGUCGGUACAGAGGGUUGCCAAGCCGCGAGGUGGAGCCAAUCCCAGAAAGCCGAUCGUAGUCCGGAUCGUAGGCUGCAACUCGCCUGCGUGAAGUCGGAAUCGCUAGUAAUCGCGGAUCAGCAUGUCGCGGUGAAUACGUUCCCGGGUCUUGUACACACCGCCCGUCACACCAUGGGAGCGGGUUCCGCCAGAAGUAGGUAGCCUAACCGCAAGGGGGGCGCUUACCACGGCGGGGUUCGUGACUGGGGUG